rnacentral:lncRNA from 1 species
GAGUAGUGACCUGGUCGGUGGAGCCUGUUCCAUUGUAGAAGCUCGUCUGGGAUCCGGAGUAGAUAUUCGAAGUAGACCGCCUGCAGUAGAAGUUCGGAGUAGACUGCUUGCUGUAGAAGUUUGGCUCUCGCAAGAGCUUGGGUGGAAUCCAGAAGGCGGUCGACUGUCGUAGAAACUUGGAUGGAGUCUGGUUACUGUAGAAAUCUCAUUGUCGGAGA